GGUUAAGCGAACAAGCGUACACGGUGGAUGCCCUGGCAGUCAGAGGCGAUGAAGGACGUGCUAAUCUGCGAAAAGCGCCGGUAAGGUGAUAUGAACCGUUAUAACCGGCGAUGUCCGAAUGGGGAAACCCGGUGCACUUCGGUGCAUCAUCGUUAGCUGAAUACAUAGGCUAACGAGGCGAACCGGGGGAACUGAAACAUCUAAGUACCCCGAGGAAAAGAAAUCAACCGAGAUUCCCCCAGUAGCGGCGAGCGAACGGGGAACAGCCCAGAGCCUGAAUCAGCUUGUGUGUCAGUGGAACGGUCUGGAAAGGCCGGCGAUACAGGGUGACAGCCCCGUACACGAAGGCACACAGGCUGUGAGCUCGAUGAGUAGGGCGGGACACGUGAUAUCCUGUCUGAAGAUGGGGGGACCAUCCUCCAAGGCUAAAUACUCCUGACUGACCGAUAGUGAACCAGUACCGUGAGGGAAAGGCGAAAAGAACCCCGGCGAGGGGAGUGAAACAGAACCUGAAACCGUGUACGUACAAGCAGUGGGAGCCUUCGUAAGAGGGUGACUGCGUACCUUUUGUAUAAUGGGUCAGCGACUUAUAUUCUGUAGCAAGGUUAACCGUAUAGGGGAGCCGAAGGGAAACCGAGUCUUAAUUGGGCGUUAAGUUGCAGGGUAUAGACCCGAAACCCGGUGAUCUAGCCAUGGGCAGGUUGAAGGUUGGGUAACACUAACUGGAGGACCGAACCGACUAAUGUUGAAAAAUUAGCGGAUGACCUGUGGCUGGGGGUGAAAGGCCAAUCAAACCGGGAGAUAGCUGGUUCUCCCCGAAAGCUAUUUAGGUAGCGCCUCGUGAACUCAUCUCCGGGGGUAGAGCACUGUUUCGGCUAGGGGGCCAUCCCGGCUUACCAACCCGAUGCAAACUGCGAAUACCGGAGAAUGUUAUCACGGGAGACACACGGCGGGUGCUAACGUCCGUCGUGAAGAGGGAAACAACCCAGACCGCCAGCUAAGGUCCCAAAGUCAUGGUUAAGUGGGAAACGAUGUGGGAAGGCCCAGACAGCCAGGAUGUUGGCUUAGAAGCAGCCAUCAUUUAAAGAAAGCGUAAUAGCUCACUGGUCGAGUCGGCCUGCGCGGAAGAUGUAACGGGGCUAAACCAUGCACCGAAGCUGCGGCAGCGACACUAUGUGUUGUUGGGUAGGGGAGCGUUCUGUAAGCCUGCGAAGGUGUGCUGUGAGGCAUGCUGGAGGUAUCAGAAGUGCGAAUGCUGACAUAAGUAACGAUAAAGCGGGUGAAAAGCCCGCUCGCCGGAAGACCAAGGGUUCCUGUCCAACGUUAAUCGGGGCAGGGUGAGUCGACCCCUAAGGCGAGGCCGAAAGGCGUAGUCGAUGGGAAACAGGUUAAUAUUCCUGUACUUGGUGUUACUGCGAAGGGGGGACGGAGAAGGCUAUGUCGGCCGGGCGACGGUUGUCCCGGUUUAAGCGUGUAGGCUGACUUUCCAGGCAAAUCCGGAAAGUUAAGGCUGAGGCGUGAUGACGAGGCACCACGGUGCUGAAGUGACAAAUGCCCUGCUUCCAGGAAAAGCCUCUAAGCAUCAGGUAACAUCAAAUCGUACCCCAAACCGACACAGGUGGUCAGGUAGAGAAUACCAAGGCGCUUGAGAGAACUCGGGUGAAGGAACUAGGCAAAAUGGUGCCGUAACUUCGGGAGAAGGCACGCUGACAUGUAGGUGAAGCCCCUGCGGGUGGAGCUGAAGUCAGUCGAAGAUACCAGCUGGCUGCAACUGUUUAUUAAAAACACAGCACUGUGCAAACACGAAAGUGGACGUAUACGGUGUGACGCCUGCCCGGUGCCGGAAGGUUAAUUGAUGGGGUUAUCGCAAGAGAAGCUCCUGAUCGAAGCCCCGGUAAACGGCGGCCGUAACUAUAACGGUCCUAAGGUAGCGAAAUUCCUUGUCGGGUAAGUUCCGACCUGCACGAAUGGCGUAAUGAUGGCCAGGCUGUCUCCACCCGAGACUCAGUGAAAUUGAACUCGCUGUGAAGAUGCAGUGUACCCGCGGCAAGACGGAAAGACCCCGUGAACCUUUACUACAGCUUGACACUGAACAUUGAGCCUUGAUGUGUAGGAUAGGUGGGAGGCUUUGAAGCGUGGACGCCAGUCUGCGUGGAGCCAACCUUGAAAUACCACCCUUUAAUGUUUGAUGUUCUAACCUGGCGCCGUGAUCCGGCGUGGGGACAGUGUCUGGUGGGUAGUUUGACUGGGGCGGUCUCCUCCCAAAGUGUAACGGAGGAGCACGAAGGUCAGCUAAUCCUGGUCGGACAUCAGGAGGUUAGUGCAAUGGCAUAAGCUGGCUUGACUGCGAGAGUGACGGCUCGAGCAGGUGCGAAAGCAGGUCAUAGUGAUCCGGUGGUUCUGUAUGGAAGGGCCAUCGCUCAACGGAUAAAAGGUACUCCGGGGAUAACAGGCUGAUACCGCCCAAGAGUUCAUAUCGACGGCGGUGUUUGGCACCUCGAUGUCGGCUCAUCACAUCCUGGGGCUGAAGUAGGUCCCAAGGGUAUGGCUGUUCGCCAUUUAAAGUGGUACGCGAGCUGGGUUUAGAACGUCGUGAGACAGUUCGGUCCCUAUCUGCCGUGGGCGCUGGAGAAUUGAGGGGGGCUGCUCCCAGUACGAGAGGACCGGAGUGGACGCAUCACUGGUGUUCGGGUUGUCAUGCCAAUGGCACUGCCCGGUAGCUAAAUGCGGAAGAGAUAAGUGCUGAAAGCAUCUAAGCACGAAACUUGCCCCGAGAUGAGUUCUCCCUGAGACUGUAAGUCUCCUGAAGGAACGUUGAAGACGACGACGUUGAUAGGCCGGGUGUGUAAGCGCAGCGAUGCGUUGAGCUAACCGGUACUAAUGAACCGUGAGGCUUAACCUU
rnacentral:rRNA from 1 species